rnacentral:lncRNA from 1 species
UUGUAUUCUAUUUAUUAAUACAUGCUUGCUUCUACUUGUAGGAGUAUUACUGAUUCGAGACUCCUCAUGAUGAGGAGGCUGACUGUUGAACCUUUGAGGAGGUGGCCACACGUAGGCUCUGGGAUGGGUUAUAUAGCCUUAAGCAGUCUGCCAUAGAGCACUCUAGUUUUGACUCAUCAUCGGACUGAAAGUUUUAUACAAAUCACU